rnacentral:rRNA from 1 species
GCGAGUGAAGCGGCAAAAGCUCAAAUUUGAAAUCUGGCACCUUCGGUGUCCGAGUUGUAAUUUGAAGAAGGUAACUUUGGAGUCAGCUCUUGUCUAUGUUCCUUGGAACAGGACGUCACAGAGGGUGAGAAUCCCGUGCGAUGAGAUGUCUGAUUCUAUGUAAAGUGCUUUCGAAGAGUCGAGUUGUUUGGGAAUGCAGCUCUAAGUGGGUGGUAAAUUCCAUCUAAAGCUAAAUAUUGGCGAGAGACCGAUAGCGAACAAGUACAGUGAUGGAAAGAUGAAAAGAACUUUGAAAAGAGAGUGAAAAAGUACGUGAAAUUGUUGAAAGGGAAGGGUUUGAGAUCAGACUUGGUAUUUUGUAUGUCUUGCUUUCGGGUGGGGCCUCUACAGUUUACUGGGCCAGCAUCGGUUUGGACGGUAGGAUAAUGACAUUGGAAUGUGGCACCACUUCGGUGGUGUGUUAUAGACUUUGUUGAUACUGCCUGUCUAGACCGAGGACUGCGUCUUUGACUAGGAUGCUGGCAUAAUGAUCUUAAACCGCCCGUCUUGAAACACGGACC